CUUCAUGACUGAGAGCUGCUGCUACAGCAACUUCACCCACAGCUACCAUGACUCUGAUCCCCGUCUUCAUCUGGACACUGAUCCUCUGGACUCAAGAAUGCAGAGGUCAAAUCACAGUAACUCAGACUCCUGCAGUGAAAUCUGCUCUUCCAGGAGAAACAGUCACCAUCAACUGUAGAACCAGUCAGGCAGUGUAUUACUACAGCUCAAAUGGCCACUACUUACACUGGUAUCAGCAGAAACCUGGAGAAGCUCCUAAACUCCUGAUUAAAUUUGCGAAUCAGCGAGUGUCAGGUUUUCCAGCUCGUUUCAGUGGCAGUGGAUCUGGAUCUGAUUUCACUCUGACCAUCAGUGGAGUCCAGACUGAAGAUGCAGGAGAUUAUUACUGUCAGAGUUACCACAGUGGGAAUGUGUUCACACAGUGUUAUAGAGUCGUACAAAAACCUCCCUCAGUCAGAUUGUAGAGAGACUGCACUGCUGCAGCUGGGAGAGACUGCAGGUGCUGAGUUGGAGGAUGUGAUACGGCACAAGUUCACAACUCACAGUCGAAAUCUUUCAAUAACCAUGAUGAUUAUGAAAAGUGAGUAUAUAGUAAGCGAUAUUUCCAUUAAAUUAGUUCAGCAACGAAAGAUGUAGGAUUAGACUUCGAGGCCUUUUUGAAUUUUUCCUGCUAUAUUUUCACUCAAUCCUCCUUUGAGCCCAACACCGAAUUGGUUCAGAAAAAGGAAAUAUGGCUAAUCAUUUCAAAGGCCAUGGUUCUGAAAAACUUAGAUGAAGCUGUUGACUGUUUGCCCAUUUCUGGUACAUCACACACUGACAUGACUGACCCUAAAGUGUAUACCAUGUCAGUUGCAUAAGUAUUCACACACACUGCACUUUUCCACAUUUUCUAGUGUUACAGCCGAGAACUGAAAUGCACUUAAGUGGGACUAAAGGUCAUGAAGCUACACAAAACCUCCCACAUUAUUGAAGUUUGGGGAAAAUCAGUCAAGAUUCUUAUGAGUUAAUUAACUCUAAAUUAGGCAGCACGGUGGUGUAGUGGUUAGCACUGCCACCUCAAACCAAGAAUGUCCGGGAGGGUUUGAGCCCCGUGGCCGGCGACGGCCUUUCUGUGCGGAUUUUGAUGUUCUCCCCGUGUCCGCGUGGGUUUCCUCCGGGUGCUCCGGUUUCCCCCACAGUCCAAAG